GAUGAAACGCUGGCGGCGUGCUUAACACAUGCAAGUCGAACGGGAAUUACUUUAUUGAACUUCGGUCGAUUUAAUUUAAUUCUAGUGGCGGACGGGUGAGUAACGCGUGGGUAAACCUGCCUUAUACAGGGGGAUAACAGUCAGAAAUGACUGCUAAUACCGCAUAAGCGCACGGAACCGCAUGGUUCUGUGUGAAAAAACUCCGGUGGUAUAAGAUGGACCCGCGUUGGAUUAGCUUGUGGUGAGGUAACGGCUCACCAAGGCGACGAUCCAUAGCCGGCCUGAGAGGGUGAACGGCCACAUUGGGACUGAGACACGGCCCAAACUCCUACGGGAGGCAGCAGUAGGGAAUCUUCGGCAAUGGACGAAAGUCUGACCGAGCAAACGCCGCGUGAGUGAAGAAGGUUUUCGGAAUCGUAAAACUCUGUUGGUAAGAGAAGAACGUUGGUGAGAGUGGAAAGCUCAUCAAGUGACGGUAACUACCCAGAAAGGGACGGCU
rnacentral:rRNA from 1 species